rnacentral:rRNA from 1 species
GUGCCAGCAGCCGCGGUAAUACGGAGGAUGCAAGCGUUAUCCGGAUUCAUUGGGUUUAAAGGGUGCGCAGGCGGAUUGAUAAGUCAGGGGUGAAAUCCCACAGCUCAACUGUGGAACUGCCCUUGAUACUGUUAGUCUAGAGUAUAGUUGAAGUUGGCGGAAUGUGUCAUGUAGCGGUGAAAUGCUUAGAUAUGACACAGAACACCGAUCGCGAAGGCAGCUAGCUAAGCUAUAACUGACGCUCAUGCACGAAAGCGUGGGGAUCAAACAGGAUUAGAUACCCUGGUAGUCCACGCUGUAAACGAUGAUUACUCGAUGUUGGCGAUACACAGUCAGCGUCUAAGGGAAACCAAUAAGUAAUCCACCUGGGGAGUACGAUCGCAAGAUUGAAACUCAAAGGAAUUGACGGGGGCCCGCACAAGCGGAGGAGCAUGUGGUUUAAUUCGAUGAUACGCGAGGAACCUUACCUGGGCUAGAACGUAGAGAGACUAUAGGAGAAAUCUUAUAUCCCUUCGGGGCUGUCUACGAGGUGCUGCAUGGUUGUCGUCAGCUCGUGCCGUGAGGUGUCGGGUUAAGUCCCAUAACGAGCGCAACCCCUAUCUUUAGUUGCCAACAGGUCAAGCUGGGGACUCUAAAGAAACUGCCUACGCAAGUAGUGAGGAAGGCGGGGAUGACGUCAAAUCAGCACGGCCCUUACGUCCAGGGCUACACACGUGCUACAAUGGCCGAUACAGAGGGCAGCUACCUGGUGACAGGAUGCAAAUCUCCAAAGUCGGUCUCAGUUCGGAUCGGAGUCUGCAACCCGACUCCGUGAAGUUGGAUUCGCUAGUAAUCGCGCAUCAGCCAUGGCGCGGUGAAUACGUUCCCGGGCCUUGUACACACCGCCCGUCAAGCCAUGGAAGCUGGGGGGACCUAAAGUCGAUAACCGUAAGGAGUCGCCUAGGGUAAAACCAGUGACUGGGGCUAAGUCGUAACAAGGUAGCCGUACCGGAAGGUGUGGCUGGAUCACCUCCUUCUAGACUGCAGAA